AUACAAAUAGCUGAGACAGUUGAGCAUGAGAUUCUUAAUCUCAUGGUUGUGAGUUCAAGCCCCACUUUGGGCA